rnacentral:lncRNA from 1 species
UGUAAGAAAUGAAAUUGCUUGGUAUAUAAUGUCCAUUAUGCUUCUUGUGGUUAUUUUGAUAUGUUGUAGUGGUUGAUUGAUCCACUACCUUGGGAUGUAGUUGUGGCAACUCAUGUUGUAGUGGUUGAUUGAUCCACUACCUUGGGAUGUAGUUGUGAGAACUUUAUGAGGUUUGACAAUACUUGCUUCUGUACAUGAAACACUUGUUAUUUUGAAUCCUUUAUGAUGCACUAAUCCUUCAUCUGAGUUCAGUCACUGUUUAUCUUUUAUAUUCUAUUGCUGGUUAAUGGUUUUGUUCCAGCACUCUCCUACAUUAGAACUUUGCAGAGUGAGUUCCUGUUAAGAGGAAAAACUUAGGAAAUUUGUGAUGCAAUCUCAAAUCUUUAAUCUUUAAUCAAACUAGUACAGUAGUUUACUUUGUCAGUGGUUCAACUUUUUUUAAUUGAAAGGUAAUACACUAUAAUAUUGCAACUACACUAAUAAGAAAAGAGAACAUCGGUAAACAACUAAACAAUGAAUAAACAAAGAUCAAUGAUUUAGUUGCAGUGCUGAUGCAAUUGUUUCUCCACAUGAAUAACUUUACCCUGAAAACACUGUUGGACUAUGAUUGUAACUCUCCUUUCAUUUGAGGAUAUCCUGUAUUUUCUGAGAAAAUUGCAGAUUUCCUUUCAUGUUAUUUAUGUAUUCAGAAUUAUUACUUUAGCUACUGCCCUGUGCCCUUUUGGAAUUGCUGUUUUUUCUUCCUAAUACAGUUCUCCAAAAUCUUAAUGAAUAGCUAUGUCUGACAAUCAAAGAUUAUCCUUCUGAUAAUUCUUGUCACGCAGUACACAGUUCCCAUGAUACUCAUGAAUUCUCUCGGCAUUGGUUACUUGUUAUAUAUUCUUUAGCUAUAUUUCCUUUUGAUAAUUCUUGUCACACAGUACACAAUUUCCAUGAUAUUAAUGGAUUCUCUUGGCAUUGGUUUCCUGUUAUAUAUUCUUGAGCUAUAUGAAUUAUACAUGUUAGCAGCAUUUGGUUUCAGCAUAUCAUUUUGAGGCAUGCAUCACCUUUGCAAGCAAUUCAUUUGGUUUCAGCAUAUCAUUUUGAGGCAUGCAUCACCUUUGCAAGCAAUUUACGCUUUCUCAGUCUAUAUAUAUGGCUCUGAGGGGGUUUCCUGCUGGGUGUUUGCCAUAAUAUGCUAUCCCCCCCCC